UACGGAGGGUGCGAGCGUUGCUCGGAAUCAUUGGGCGUAAAGCGUACUCAGGCGGCUCGCUAAGUCGGGUGUGAAAUCCCGGGGCUCAACCCCGGAAUGGCGCCCGAUACUGACGAGCUUGAGUGCGGGAGAGGAAAGCGGAAUUCCUGGUGUAGAGGUGAAAUUCGUAGAUAUCAGGAGGAACACCGGUGGCGAAAGCGGCUUUCUGGCCCGACACUGACUCUCAUGUACGAAAGCGUGGGGAGCAAACAGG
rnacentral:rRNA from 1 species